GACGAACGCUGGCGGCGUGCUUAACACAUGCAAGUCGAACGGAAAGGCCCUGCUUUUGUGGGGUGCUCGAGUGGCGAACGGGUGAGUAACCCUUGAGUAACCUGCCCUUCACUUUGGGAUAACUUCAUGAAACUGGGGCUAAUCCCGGAUAGGAGCUCCUGCUUCAUGGUGGGGGUUGGAAAGUUUCGGCGGUUGGGGAUGGACUCGCGGCUUAUCAGCUUGUUGGUGGGGUAGUGGCUUACCAAGGCCUUGACGGGUAGCAGGCCUGAGAGGGGGACCGGCCACACUGGGAUGGAGAUAAGGCCCAGACUCCUACGGGAGGCAGCAGUGGGGAAGAGUGUACAAGGGGCGGAAGCCUGAUGCAGCAAAGCAGCGUGGGGGAUGACGGGCUGCGGGUUGGAAUCCGCUUUCGCCUGUGACGAAGCGAGAGUGACGGUAAUGGGUAAAGAAGCACCGGCUAACUACGUG
rnacentral:rRNA from 1 species